UCUUUUAGAAUACUGUGGAAA
ensembl:piRNA 21ur-9019 ncRNA